AGGCAGGCUAGCAAAGAAACAUAACUCAUCGUCUCACCGGCCUCCUCCCUCUACCACGCCUCCUCCGACCUCAUUGCCGCCGCCUCCGACCGCCUCUAUCUCCCUCCCUGCCUCAUUCGUCCUCUCCUUCCAAUCCUAGAAUCCGGUGUGUACUGUAAAAUGUUGGAAAAUGGGGAGGUAAGGGAGUUGCGUUUCUGCAGAUAAGAAAACUCUCAACCCUGAGCCCAAGGAAAAAAAAUUUCUGAUGGGGUUGAAGGACUUCAACCAUUAUGUCAUUACAUAGAUUUUGUUUUGGCUGGGAAUGGAAGAGAUGGCGUUUGUAGAUGAGGCUCAGCCAAAAGAGUGUGGAAUUCUAAUCCUAACGUAAAGUUAUGGGAACUAUUUAUCAUAUUAGAUCAUGAUGACUGUAAAUUGUGGGUGUUAAAUGUUGUCUGUUUUGUGGAACGACUAUAUGCAUGUAUCAUUGAUUUUAAAGAUCUCAUGUGUAAACUGUUUGUAAUUAAUUAUUAGUGAUGCAUGUUUCCUUGACAUUUACUUUCAUA